CUGGGUGUCACACAGGUGACACUGUGACACUGACGGUGACACACAGGUGGCACAGAGGUCACACAGGUGACACUGACGGUGACAUGGUGACAUUGUCACACAGAUGUCCCUGUACCUGUCUUUCCCCGUGUCCCGGGUGUCACACAGGUGACACUGUGACACUGAGGGUGGCACUGUGACACCAAUGGUGACACUGAUGGUGACACAGAGGUCACACAGGUGACACUGACGGUGACAUGGUGACAUUGUCACACAGAUGUCCCUGUACCUGUCAUUCCCCGUGGCCGUGUUCUGGGUGUCACACAGGUGACACUGACGGUGACACACAGGGGACACAGGUGACACUGUGACACUGAUGGUGACAUUGUGACAAUGACAGAUGUCCCUGUACCUGUCGUUCCCCGUGGCCGUGUUCUGGGUGUCACACAGGUGACACUGUGACACUGACGGUGACACAGAGGUCACACAGGUGACACACAGGUGACACUGUCCCAUUGUCACACAGAUGUCCCUGUACCUGUCGUUCCCCGUGGCCGUGUUCUGGGUGACACACGGGUGACACUGUGACACUGAUGGUGACACACAGAGGUCACACAGGUGACACUGAUGGUGACACUGUGACAUUGUGACAAUGACAGAUGUCCCUGUACCUGUCCUUCCCCGUGGCCGUGUUCUGGGUGUCACACAGGUGACACUGUGACACUGAUGGUGACACACAGGUCACACAGGUGACACUGAUGGUGACAUUGUCACACAGAUGUCCCUGUACCUGUCGUUCCCCGUGGCCGUGUUCUGGGUGUCACACGGGUGACACUGUGACACUGACGGUGACACUGUGACACUGAUGGUGACACUGAUGGUGACACUGUCACAUUGUCACACAGAUGUCCCUGUACCUGUCUUUCCCCGUGGCCGUGUUCUGGGUGUCACAGGGGUGUCACAGGUGUCACACAGGUGGCACUGUCACACUGAGGGUGACGCUGUGACACUGAUGGUGACAUUGUGACAAUGACAGAUGUCCCUGUACCUGUCGUUCCCCGUGGCCGUGUUCUGGGUGUCCCGGGUGACACUGAUGG